rnacentral:rRNA from 1 species
AGAGUUUGAUCAUGGCUCAGAACGAACGCUGGCGGCAGGCCUAACACAUGCAAGUCGAGCGCCCCGCAAGGGGAGCGGCAGACGGGUGAGUAACGCGUGGGAAACUACCCAGUGGUGCGGAACAACCAAGGGAAACUUUGGCUAAUACCGCAUGUGCCCUUCGGGGGAAAGAUUUAUCGCCAUUGGAUGUGCCCGCGUCGGAUUAGCUAGUUGGUGAGGUAACGGCUCACCAAGGCGACGAUCCGUAGCUGGUCUGAGAGGAUGAUCAGCCACACUGGGACUGAGACACGGCCCAGACUCCUACGGGAGGCAGCAGCCAGGAAUCUUGGGCAAUGGGCGAAAGCCUGACCCAGCAACACCGUGUGGGUGACGAAGGCCUUAGGGUCGUAAAGCCCUGUUGAUAGGGACGAAGGGCGAAGGGUUAAUAGCCCCUAGCUUGACGGUACCUUUCGAGGAAGCCCCGGCUAACUACGUGCCAGCAGCCGCGGUAAUACGUAGGGGGCGAGCGUUGUCCGGAAUUAUUGGGCGUAAAGAGCGUGUAGGCGGUUCGGUAAGUCUGCUGUGAAAUCCUGGGGCUCAACCCCGGGCGUGCAGCGGAUACUGCCGGGCUAGAGGAUGGUAGAGGCGAGUGGAAUUCCGAGUGUAGCGGUGAAAUGCGCAGAUAUUCGGAGGAACACCAGUAGCGAAGGCGGCUCGCUGGGCCAUUCCUGACGCUGAGACGCGAAAGCGUGGGGAGCGAACAGGAUUAGAUACCCCGGUAGUCC